rnacentral:rRNA from 1 species
UAAAAUAAUUAAGGGCACAUAGGGAAUGCCUAGGUAGUAAGAGCCGAUGAAGGACGUGGUAAGCUGCGAUAAGCUCAGGGUAGUUGCAAUCGAACGUUGAUCCUGAGAUUUCCGAAUGGAGCAAUCCGCUAAGUUGAAGACUUAGCACGAAAGAGGGUACCGCGUGAACUGAAACAUCUAAGUAACGCGAGGAAAAGAAAGUAAAAACGAUUCCCCAAGUAGCGGCGAGCGAACGGGGAUGAGCCCAAACCGCAUAAAUGCCAAGGAUGCAGCCGUUGUUUAUGCGGGGUUGUGGGAAGAACCACGAGGAACUGCAACGUACUCAACAAUGUUAAUGACUGAACUGGAACUAGUUGGAAAGCUAGAUCGUAGAAGGUGAUAAUCCUGUACAGGUAAACUCAUUAACUUGUCCGUUCUCUCCCAAGUAACAUGGAACACGAGGAAUUCUGUGUGAAUCUGCGAGGACCAUAUCUCGUAAGGCUAAAUACUCUUACUAACCGAUAGCGUAUAGUACCGUGAGGGAAAGGUGAAAAGAACCCCGGGAGGGGAGUGAAAUAGAACCUGAAACUAUGUGCUUACAAGCGGUCAGAGCCCGCAAGGGUGAUGGCGUGCCUUUUGGAGAAUGAUCCUGCGAGUUACGUUCAGUGGCAAGGUUAAGUUUAACGGAGCCGAAGGGAAACCGAGUCUGAACAGGGCGAUUUUAGUCGCUGGGCGUAGACGCGAAACCUGGUGAUCUAAGCCUGUCCAGGGUGAAGCUGUGGUAAGACACAGUGGAGGCCCGAACUCACCGCCGUUGAAAAGUUGGGAGAUGAGGUAGGUUUAGGGGUGAAAAGCCAAUCGAACUAGGAGAUAGCUCGUUCUCUCCGAAAUGCAUUUAGGUGCAGCCUUGAGUGUUUAAUUAUGGGGGUAGAGCACUGAAUGGACUAGGGGGCGCAUUGCUUACUGAAUCCAAUCAAACUCCGAAUACCAUAAUUCAAGAGCUCAGGAGUGAGACUAUGGGAAUUAACUUCCAUUGUCAAAAGGGAAACAACCCAGACCACCAGCUAAGGUCCCUAAUCAUAACUAAGUGGGAAAGGAGGUGGAGAUUCAUAAACAACCAGGAGGUUGGCUUAGAAGCAGCCAUACCUUUAAAGAGUGCGUAAUAGCUCACUGGUCGAGAGUCUCUGCGCCGACAAUGUAACGGGGCUAAGUUAUGAACCGAAGCUGUGGAAUUGCGCAAGCAAUUGGUAGGAGAGCGUUCUGUAGGCCGUUGAAGGAGAAGCGUAAGCAACUCUGGAGGUAUCAGAAGUGAGAAUGCAGGAAUAAGUAGCGAGAAGGGAGGCGAGAAUCCUCCCCGCCGGAAGACCAAGGUUUUCAGGGUAAAGCUUGUCUUCCCUGAGUAAGCCGGGACCUAAGCCGAGGCUAUAGUGCGUAGGCGAAUGGAAAACAGAUUAAUAUUUCUGUGCCAGUCAUAUUUUGUGAUGGAGGGACGCAGAAGGGUAUGUACGCGGAAGAACGGUAGUUUCCGUAAAAGCAUGUAGAAUGACUUGAUAGGUAAAUCCGUCAAGUUAGAUUUGAGGUGUGAUAUAUAGUCGUAAGAUGAAUGUACAAAUCCCACGCUGCCGAGAAAAGCUUCUAACGUUAAGGUAUGACUGCCCGUACCCGAAACCGACACAGGUGGUCAGGAUGAGAAAUCUAAGGCGGACAGGCUAACUCUCGUUAAGGAACUCUGCAAAAUUGCCCCGUAACUUCGGGAGAAGGGGUGCCCCUGAGUGUGAGCAUACACGCGAUGUUAAGCGCUUGGGGGUCGCAGUGAAGAGGCUCAAGCAACUGUUUAACAAAAACACAGGUCUAUGCUAAGCUGUAAGGCGAUGUAUAUGGGCUGACACCUGCCCAGUGCCGGAAGGUUAAGAGGAGGAGUGAGAGCUCCGAAUUGAAGCCCCGGUGAACGGCGGCCGUAACUAUAACGGUCCUAAGGUAGCGAAAUUCCUUGUCGGGUAAGUUCCGACCUGCACGAAUGGUGU